CAGGAAACUUCUUAAAUGGUGAUCAUGAGAAACAUAUAAGGGGGUGAUGUCAGCUUAAUGAACUCAAUUCUUUUGAUUGAUCUUGGAGCACAGAGUGGGUCACAGUGGUCUCGAUCUUUUUUAGAAUCUUCAGGCUGACAUUACCUAGUUAAUAGCACAUGGACACCACUGUGACCAAAAUAUCUGACAGGGACAAUUUAAAGGAAGGAGAGUUAAUUUUGGCUCAUGGCUUCAGAGGUUCAGUCCAUGCUGGGCCAACUCCAUUGCCCUGGGCCCAAGGUGAGGCAGAACAUCAUGGUGGAAGGGUGAGGCCGAGGAAGGUUGGUCAACUCAUGAUAGCCAGGAAGCAGAGAGAAAGAGAGAGAGAAAGAGUGGAAGGGGCCAUAGGGAAGAUGUACCCUUCCAGGGCACACCCCCAGUGACCCACCUCCUCCAGACACAUCGACCUGACUAUAGUUACCACCCAGUAAGUCCAUUCAAAGUAGGAUGGACUGAUUAGGUUACAGCUCUCGCAAUCCAAUCAUUCACCUUCUGCAUUAGCACAGGAGAUCUGGGGGAACAUGGCAUAUCCAAACAAUAACCAGUCUUUAUCUAGGGUUCUUUAAUCAGUCUAAAAAUAACAUUCUAUAAACUAACAAAGACAGCUCUCUAAGAUGUAGUAGACCUUUUAAGAAUUCAGGCCUGUGGGGGAAACAGGCCUGGGGUGGUAGUAGUGAAGUUAAGGGCCUACAUGGAGUUUUUAGAUGUAAAGUUACAACCCCUUUUUCCUUCCCUGCUUUUCUCCUUUCUGCAUAUCCUUAUUUCUUCUAUUCUACCUCAGUUUGAAUUUUGUUUUCUUCUUCUUCAUAAUGGCGAUCAAACCCAUGAUCUUGAAAAUGCUAGGCAAGCACUGAGCCACAUCCCAGCCCUUUUUAUUUUGAGACAGAGAUUUGCUAAACUGCUUAGGCUGGCCUCAGACUUGCAGUCCUCCUGCCUUAGCCUCCUGAGUAGCUGGAAUUAGAGGUGUGAUGGACCUCCC
rnacentral:lncRNA from 1 species